AAAGAGAGUUUUCAACUACAGAUUGUCAAGAGCUCGGCGAACAAUAGAAAACACCUUUGGUAUAAUGGUAUCCAAGUGGCGAAUACUUAAAACAACCAUUAUAGCAGAACCAGAAAAUGUGUCCAAAAUUGUCAAGGCUACUUGCAUUUUGCACAAUUUCCUCCGAACACGCCAUGUUUCCUACAGUCCAGCUGGUUUCACAGAUACUGUGGAUCCAUCUGGAAAUGUUCAUGAAGGGUCUUGGAGGCAAGAAACAACCCAUGUGCUUGAACCAUUAGCUCACAACAAACAAAGAAACUACAGUAGUGAAGCAUCCAAAAUUAGAGAAAAGUUUGCCAUGUAUUUUAAUUCAGAAGUUGGUCAACUUUCAUGGCAGCAAGAAUAUGUGAAAAGAACUCAUUGAUAUAAUUUUAUUUUACUUUUUUGUUGUAAUAUAGAUAAAGCACUAUUAUUUUUCAUUAUAUUCAAUGUCAAAAAGAA